UACGUAGGGUGCAAGCGUUGUCCGGAAUUAUUGGGCGUAAAGAGCGUGUAGGCGGCCGUACAGGUCAGCUGUGAAAACUCGAGGCUCAACCUCGAGACGUCGGUUGAAACCGUACGGCUAGAGUCCGGAGGAGGAGAGUGGAAUUCCCGGUGUAGCGGUGAAAUGCGCAGAUAUCGGGAAGAACACCCGUGGCGAAGGCGGCUCUCUGGGACGGUACUGACGCUGAGACGCGAAAGCGUGGGGAGCGAACAGG
rnacentral:rRNA from 1 species